rnacentral:rRNA from 1 species
CACGUAGGGCGCAAGCGUUGUCCGGAAUUAUUGGGCGUAAAGAGCUCGUAGGCGGUCUGUUGCGUCCGCUGUGAAAACCUAAGGCUCAACCUUGGGCUUGCAGUGGGUACGGGCAGACUAGAGUGCGGUAGGGGUGACUGGAAUUCCUGGUGUAGCGGUGGAAUGCGCAGAUAUCAGGAGGAACACCGAUGGCGAAGGCAGGUCUCUGGGACGGUACUGGACGCU